rnacentral:rRNA from 1 species
UACGGGGGGGGCAAGCGUUGUUCGGAAUUAUUGGGCGUAAAGAGCUCGUAGGCGGUUUGUCGCGUCUGCUGUGAAAAUCCAGGGCUUAACCCUGGACCUGCAGUGGGUACGGGCAGACUAGAGUGCGGUAGGGGAGAUCGGAAUUCCUGGUGUAGCGGUGAAAUGCGCAGAUAUCAGGAGGAACACCGGUGGCGAAGGCGGAUCUCUGGGCCGUAACUGACGCUGAGGAGCGAAAGCAUGGGGAGCGAACAGG